rnacentral:rRNA from 1 species
GACGAACGCUGGCGGCGUGCUUAACACAUGCCAGUCGAACGGAAAGGCCCUGCUUGCAGGGUGCUCGAGUGGCGAACGGGUGAGUAACACGUGGGUGAUCUGCCCCUUACUUUGGGAUAAGCCUGGGAAACUGGGUCUAAUACUGGAUAGGACCAUGCUGUAGGCGGUGUGGUGGAAAGAUUAGUUUCGGUAAGGGAUGAGCUCGCGGCCUAUCAGCUUGUUGGUGGGGUAAUGGCCUACCAAGGCGUCGACGGGUGGCCGGCCUGAGAGGGUGGACGGCCACCUUGGGACUGAGAUACGGCGCAGACUCCUGCGGGAGGCAGCAGUGGGGAAUAUUGCACAAUGGGCGCAAGCCUGAUGCAGCGACGCCGCGUGGGGGGUGACGGCCUUCGGGUUGUAAACUCCUUUCAGCCAUGACGAAGCCCUUGUGGUGACGGUAGUGGUAGAAGAAGCACCGGCUAACUACGUG